rnacentral:rRNA from 1 species
AGCAGCCGCGGUAAUUCCAGCUCCAAUAGCGUAUAUUAAAGUUGUUGCAGUUAAAAAGCUCGUAGUUGAAUUUCGGGAUCAAUAUACCGGUCGUGCCUCAGGUAUGAACUGGUCUUAUUGGUUUCUCCCUUCUGACGAACCAUGAUGUCAUUAAUUUGAUGUCGUGGAGAAUCAGGACUGUUACUUUGAAAAAAUUAGAGUGUUUAAAGCAGGCUAACGCUUGAAUACAUUAGCAUGGAAUAAUGAAAUAGGACGUUCGAUCCUAUUUUGUUGGUUUCUAGGAUCGACGUAAUGAUUAAUAGGGAUAGUUGGGGGCAUUAGUAUUCAAUUGUCAGAGGUGAAAUUCUUGGAUUUAUUGAAGACUAACUACUGCAAAAGCAUUUGCCAAGGAUGUUUUCAUUAAUCAAGAACGAAAGUUAGGGGAUCGAAGACGAUCAGAUACCGUCGUAGUCUUAACCAUAAACUAUGCCGACUAGGGAUCGGAUGAUGUUAAUUUUAUAAUGACUCAUUC